GACAGAGGUGCCGAGCGUUAGGCGGAAUCACUGGGCUUAAAGCGUGUGUAGGCGGGUCGUUAAGUGUCUUGUGAAAUCCCACCGCUCAACGGUGGAACUGCUGGGCAUACUGGCGAUCUUGAGCCACCUAGGGGCGAGCGGAACAAGCGGUGGAGCGGUGAAAUGCGUAGAUAUCAUUUGGAACGCCAAUGGUGAAAACAGGUAACUGGGAGUGUGCUGACGCUGAGACACGAAAGCCAGGGGAGCGAACGGGG
rnacentral:rRNA from 1 species